AAUCAACGCUGGCGGCGUGCCUAACACAUGCAAGUCGAACGCGAAAGGGGCUUCGGCCCUGAGUAGAGUGGCGAACGGGUGAGUAACACGUGGGUGAUCUACCUCUGAGUGGGGGAUAACGUUCCGAAAGGAGCGCUAAUACCGCAUGACGUGCCGGGUUUGAAGACCUGGCCACCAAAGUCGGGGACCGCAAGGCCUGACGCUUGGAGAGGAGCCCGCGCCUGAUUAGCUAGUUGGUGAGGUCAUGGCUCACCAAGGCGACGAUCAGUAGCCGGCCUGAGAGGGCGGACGGCCACACUGGGACUGAGACACGGCCCAGACUCCUACGGGAGGCAGCAGUGGGGAAUUGUUCGCAAUGGGCGCAAGCCUGACGACGCAACGCCGCGUGGAGGAUGAAGGUCUUCGGAUUGUAAACUCCUGUUGAUCGGGACGAAUGGCCGCCGGGUGAAUAAUCCGGCGGAGUGACGGUACCGAUUGAGGAAGCCACGGCUAACUCUGUG
rnacentral:rRNA from 1 species